rnacentral:rRNA from 1 species
UACGUAGGGCGCAAGCGUUAUCCGGAAUUAUUGGGCGUAAAGAGCUCGUAGGCGGUUUGUCGCGUCUGCCGUGAAAAUCCGGGGCUCAACCCCGGACUUGCAGUGGGUACGGGCAGACUAGAGUGUGGUAGGGGAGACUGGAAUUCCUGGUGUAGCGGUGGAAUGCGCAGAUAUCAGGAGGAACACCGAUGGCGAAGGCAGGUCUCUGGGCCACUACUGACGCUGAGAAGCGAAAGCAUGGGGAGCGAACAGG